rnacentral:rRNA from 1 species
AAGGCCGAGAGCUGAUGACGAGUUGCCUUUAGGCGACGAAGUGGUUGAUGCCAUGCUUCCAAGAAAAGCUCCUAAGCUUCAGAUAACUGGGAACCGUACCCCAAACCGACACAGGUGGUUAGGUAGAGAAUACCAAGGCGCUUGAGAGAACUCGGGUGAAGGAACUAGGCAAAAUGGCACCGUAACUUCGGGAGAAGGUGCGCCGGCGAGGGUUAAGGACUUGCUCCGUAAGCCCAUGCCGGUCGAAGAUACCAGGCCGCUGCGACUGUUUAUUAAAAACACAGCACUCUGCAAACACGAAAGUGGACGUAUAGGGUGUGACGCCUGCCCGGUGCCGGAAGGUUAAUUGAUGGGGUUAGCGCAAGCGAAGCUCUUGAUCGAAGCCCCGGUAAACGGCGGCCGUAACUAUAACGGUCCUAAGGUAGCGAAAUUCCUUGUCGGGUAAGUUCCGACCUGCACGAAUGGCGUAACGAUGGCGGCGCUGUCUCCACCCGAGACUCAGUGAAAUUGAAAUCGCUGUGAAGAUGCAGUGUAUCCGCGGCUAGACGGAAAGACCCCGUGAACCUUUACUAUAGCUUUGCACUGGACUUUGAAUUUGCUUGUGUAGGAUAGGUGGGAGGCUUUGAAGUGGGGACGCCAGUUCUCAUGGAGCCAUCCUUGAAAUACCACCCUGGCAACUUUGAGGUUCUAACUCAGGUCCGUUAUCCGGAUCGAGGACAGUGUAUGGUGGGUAGUUUGACUGGGGCGGUCUCCUCCCAAAGAGUAACGGAGGAGUACGAAGGUGCGCUCAGACCGGUCGGAAAUCGGUCGUAGAGUAUAAAGGCAAAAGCGCGCUUGACUGCGAGACAAACACGUCGAGCAGGUACGAAAGUAGGUCUUAGUGAUCCGGUGGUUCUGUAUGGAAGGGCCAUCGCUCAACGGAUAAAAGGUACUCCGGGGAUAACAGGCUGAUACCGCCCAAGAGUUCAUAUCGACGGCGGUGUUUGGCACCUCGAUGUCGGCUCAUCACAUCCUGGGGCUGAAGCCGGUCCCAAGGGUAUGGCUGUUCGCCAUUUAAAGUGGUACGCGAGCUGGGUUUAGAACGUCGUGAGACAGUUCGGUCCCUAUCUGCCGUGGACGUUUGAGAUUUGAGAGGGGCUGCUCCUAGUACGAGAGGACCGGAGUGGACGAACCUCUGGUGUUCCGGUUGUCACGCCAGUGGCAUUGCCGGGUAGCUAUGUUCGGAAGAGAUAACCGCUGAAAGCAUCUAAGCGGGAAACUUGCCUCAAGAUGAGAUCUCACUGGGAUCUUGAAUCCCCUAAAGGGCCGUCGAAGACUACGACGUUGAUAGGUUGGGUGUGUAAGCGCUGUGAGGCGUUGAGCUAACCAAUACUAAUUGCCCGUGAGGCUUGACCAU